GACGAACGCUGGCGGCGUGCUUAACACAUGCAAGUCGAACGGAAAGGCCCUGCUUUUGUGGGGUGCUCGAGUGACGAACGGGUGAGUAACACGUGAGUAACCUGCCCCUGACUUUGGGAUAACUUCAGGAAACUGGGGCUAAUACCGGAUAGGAGCUCCUGCUGCAUGGUGGGGGUUGGAAAGUUUCGGCGGUUGGGGAUGGACUCGCGGCUUAUCAGCUUGUUGGUGGGGUAGUGGCUUACCAAGGCUUUGACGGGUAGCCGGCCUGAGAGGGUGACCGGCCACAUUGGGACUGAGAUACGGCCCAGACUCCUACGGGAGGCAGCAGUGGGGAAUAUUGCACAAUGGGCGGAAGCCUGAUGCAGCAACGCCGCGUGCGGGAUGACGGCCUUCGGGUUGUAAACCGCUUUCGCCUGUGACGAAGCGUGAGUGACGGUAAUGGGUAAAGAAGCACCGGCUAACUACGUG
rnacentral:rRNA from 1 species